rnacentral:lncRNA from 1 species
GAAUUGCUAUCUUUCUGGGCAAUAUAGCCUGUGUUGAGAUUUAGAGAUACACAUUAGAGGCUAUAUCUUUGCUCAAAGAGGAGACAACUAGAUCUAUUUAGAUAAUCAUUUCUAUAAGGGCCGAUGCUCAGGGGCAGCCAUCUGCAGAUACUUGUCCACCCUCACCAUCUCAGCUUGGAUCUUCAACCUAGGAUUUCACUGAUCUACCUUUAUAGGAUGCUAGGACUCAUCUUGUAGAACUUUAGUUUUCCUAGCAAUCCUUCAUUCUAAGAGAUAUAUAUGACAUACAUUUU